GUUAAACAAGUGCUUGAAGGCAGUAUGCUUGGUAAAAGUCAUCGCCAUUCUCUAAUCUUGAGUACCCAGGGACACGAUACACUGCGGAAGGCUGCAGGGACCUCUGCCCAGGAAAGCCAGGCUUGCAUGAAGGAAAUGAUUUCCUAUGAUUCUGCUUACUGCUUAAAAAAAUUAAUCAAGUUUUCUGCCUGACAAGAGCCAGAAAAACUUCAUCUCUUUUACAAGAAACAUUGAGAUUCCUGUAAAAUUAAGAAAUCACACAAUUUGAUGGUCUACAUUAUCUAAAGCAAAUGAGACUUCUAUUUGGAACAAAGACUACCUUGUUGGGAAAUGAGUCUGCAAGUUAAAGUGUUUUCUGAUGAUGCAUAUCAUAAAUUAUUACUCACCCCAUGUUCCCACCCUCGAGAGACCUCCAAACAAUCACCAUGCCACAGUGAACAUUCAGUAACAAAAAUUCAGCCAGGGUUUUCACCAGCAUGAAUGGCAGUGAUUCCAAUCAGGAAAACAGAAAGAGGAGAGUUCAGAGCCACCUAGAAUGGCUCUUGCAAGAUACGAAAUCAAGGCAGCAGCAACAGGGCUGAACAUUCCUCAUCCCUAACUCUCCCUUCACCAGUAGGAAACCCAGGAUAACUGCAAUCACCGCAGGCCCAUCUGGCCUGAAGUUCUACUACUAGUAGCCCUCCAUGGGACCUUCUUAAGGAAGCAUGUCAACUCAGGUAAGGGAUGUAAGGGGAUGGAUGACCCUUUGAGGCCAAAGUUGGAGCAAAAAACACCAGAUGUUCCUGUGCACUGCUCCUAAGAGAUGGUUCUGAAGACCAGUUCGGGGAGAGGUCAAAAUACUGGACAGAAUCUCAGCAACAUGGAACCUCAAACUAAGUGACAGUCACAGACAACUCUUCCCCAAAGAAAAUAAGCACAGACAUGGUUUGUGGUAAGCAGAAUUAUAAAGAUGAAUUCCCAUCUCCCUGUCAGAUUACCAGUAUGGUAAAUUACCAGAUUACCUGGUUAUUUAUUCAAACACUAAUACAGUUAUUGCCUUGAUGGAAACAUACAGAUACAAUUAAAAUCCCAAGUACCAAAUAAAUUGACCUUAAGACAAAGACUAAGUAAAUCACAUGAGCCCUCUACAAGCAGAGAGUUUUUCUCCAGCUGGUAGCAGAAGCCAGAGAUUUGAAGCAUAGGAAGUAUUCAACACAUUAUUGCUGGCCUGAAAAUGGAAGGGGCCACAUAACGAGGGAAACCGGUGGCCUCUAGAAGCAGGGAGCAGUCCCCUGCUGACAGACAGCAAGCCAAGACCUCAGUUCUACAAUUGCAAGACACUCAAUUCUGCUAAGGACAAAAAUGAGCUUGGAAGUGAACUCUGAGCUUCAGGUGAGAACACGGCCAAACAACACCUUGAUUUCAGCUUAAACAAAGAAUGCAGCCACUCCAUGCCAGAAUUCUGACCUGUAGAAAUUUGAGCUAAUAAAUAGAUGUUUUAAUAGCUUCAUC
rnacentral:lncRNA from 1 species